rnacentral:rRNA from 1 species
AACGAACGUUGGCGGCGUGGAUUAGGCAUGCAAGUCGCGGGAAUCCCCAGCAAUGGGGGGAACCGGCGUAAGGGGCAGUAAGGCGUGGGCAACCUACCCUGGGAUCUGGCAUAGCCCGUAGAAAUACGGGGUAAUUCCAGGCGAUAUCGCGAUUGGGCAUCCUGUUGCGAUCAAAGGUCCGCCGUCCCGGGAGGGGCCCACGUGGUAUUAGCUAGUUGGUGGGGUGACGGCCCACCAAGGCGGAGAUGCCUAGCGGGUGUGAGAGCACGACCCGCGCCACUGGCACUGAGACACUGGCCAGACACCUACGGGUGGCUGCAGUCGAGGAUCUUCGGCAAUGGGCGCAAGCCUGACCGAGCGACGCCGCGUGUGCGACGAAGGCCUUCGGGUUGUAAAGCACUGUCGAGGGGGAGGAAAGCCCGAAAGGGUGUGACCUAUCCCUGGAGGAAGCACGGGCUAAGUUCGUGCCAGCAGCCGCAGUAACAC